rnacentral:lncRNA from 1 species
GAGAAAAAGGGCUCAGGACUGAGGAGUGAAGAGCUCCAGGGAUUUCACUCUUCUUUGUGUGUGUGAAGGAAGGCAGGUUUAUUUGCAAGAUGGGUUUGAGGGAAUUAAGGAUAAAGUCUGCUGAAAGUAGCACCAGCCUCUGGAUUAAAAGGGAUGUUUGGAUGAAGCUUCAAUCUCAAGAAGAGGCAAGAGAAAACUAAAGAAAAAGGUACUAGAUUCUGAGGUCUGAGACUAAAGUCAUUCCAUCAUGAGUUCCAAACUGGACUUGAGAGGGGAAGAAUCAUUUCCUUUGAGAUUGACCAAUACCAGGAGUUUCACUAAAGAAGGCAAUGAAAGACCCACAGCCUUGGACAUAAUUGAUUUCCUGUGAUAUCUGUGUGGGCCCAGGCAUGCUGCUCACCUGGGUCUUUCCCCUCUUUCACUCCUUUGGAACUGCCCCACCACUAACCACUUUCCUACUCUCUCCUUCCCCACCCCAGUAUCUCCUUGCCUCAAGAGUUUCCUGUUACUAGCAAUAAUUUAGUUCACUCCCAGGGAACUACUAUUUCUGGUUCUCAGUUACUAACCUUUCCAUUCAGUUCUUUCCAUUCCAUUUUUACCAGAAUUAACGUUUCCUCAUCUUUCCCAGUGAAUGUAAAAGGUACCUUCUGGGAAGCAUUUUACCGGAACUGAUGACUGCUAUGCUUGACAGCAGCUUCAACAGCCUCGGAUACAACUCAUCAUGAAUUAGCUCUGGCAUGACUGAGUUAGAAUACUGUUCUGUUUCCUAUCUCUACAUGUAGGAAAAAUUUAAAGUGGCAUUUCUAUGCUUUGGUCUUUUCUCAUAAAUGACUUAGGGGAAAACACUUAAUGAGGAUGAGUAACUAAAAUUCAAUGAAUACUAAAAGCUUUAUAAGAAUCAUCUAAUUGAAACUUUACAUAAUUUCCUUAUUAUGUAUUAACAUUGAACGGGCAUUAUGCAUUCCAUUUCUAGAAAAGAAGUCUUUCCUUAAUAAAUUACAAGUGCAAACAUGAAGUCCAGGACAAUUUUUACUUCAAGAUCAACUUGUCUAUAUGCUAGGAUAAUGAAUUUGAAUACUCUUUACUGAUGUUCCCUGAAGACGUAGCUAUUUUGUUUUCUAUAAUGAUAUUAUUUUCUUGAGUCUCCAUUCUGUUGGGUACUGUAGAAAGAAGACAAAAAGCAAACAAUAUAAUAUACCAAUUAAAGGUAUCUUAGUUUUUUU